ACCAGACACUCUAAAUCACUAGAUGGCACCGGACACUCUAAAUCACUAGAUGGUACCAGACACUCUAAAUCACUAGAUGGUACCAGACACUCUAAAUCACAGGAUGGUACCAGACACUCUAAAUCACAGGAUGGUACCAGACACUCUAAAUCACUAGAUGGUACCAGAGACUGACUAAAUCACUAGAUGGUACCAGAGACUCUAAAUCACUAGAUGGUACCAGACACUCUAAAUCACUAGAUGGUACCAGACACUCUAAAUCACUAGAUGGUACCAGAGACUGAUUAAAUCACAGGAUGGUACCAGACACUCUAAAUCACAGGAUGGUACCAGACACUCUAAAUCACUAGAUGGUACCAGACACUCUAAAUCACUAGAUGGUACCAGACACUCUAAAUCACUAGAUGGUACCAGACACUCUAAAUCACUAGAUGGUACCAGACACUCUAAAUCACUAGAUGGUACCAGACACUCUAAAUCACUAGAUGGUACCAGAGACUGAUUAAAUCACAGGAUGGUACCAGACACUCUAAAUCACAGGAUGGUACCAGACACUCUAAAUCACUAGAUGGCACCGGACACUCUAAAUCACAGGAUGGUACCAGAGACUGACUAAAUCACUAGAUGGUACCAGAGACUCUAAAUCACUAGAUGGUACCAGACACUCUAAAUCACAGGGUUGUACCAGACACUCUAAAUCACUAGAUGGUACCAGAGACUCUAAAUCACUAGAUGGUACCAGACACUCUAAAUCACUAGAUGGUACCAGAGACUGAUUAAAUCACAGGAUGGUACCAGACACUCUAAAUCACAGGAUGGUACCAGACACUCUAAAUCACAGGAUGGUACCAGACACUCUAAAUCACUAGAUGGUACCAGACACUCUAAAUCGCAGGAUGGCACCGGACACUCUAAAUCACAGGAUGGUACCGGACACUCUAAAUCACAGGAUGGUACCAGACACUCUAAAUCACUAGAUGGCACCAGUUUCUCAUCUUUGCCUUCUGUCUUCCUCCAAGCAGCUUUAUUCAAUUGGGACCAAGUUCCCUCUUCAAUAUGAGUAAAUCCAGCAUGGAGGCUGAUAUCAAUGUCAUAAUUCACAGACUAUGGAGGUGAAAUCUUAUUAUGUAUGACAAAACAUUUAUUUUUACUGCUCUAAUUACGUAACCAGUUUAUAAUAGCAAUAAGGCUUUGUGUUAUAUGGCCAAUAUCCCACCACUGAAGGGCUGUGUCCAGGCACUCCGCGUUGUGUCGUGCCUGGACGCAGCCCUUAACCGUGGUUUACCUCCUUGGGCAUUUAUUGCUUAAAUAAUGCACGGUAUAUCAGGUAGAAUUCCAUGGCUAUAGUUCACUCUUACAUGAGCUAUUUGUAC
ensembl:lncRNA